GGGUGGUUAGCUCAGUCAGUUGAGCACGGCGCUACCAACGCCAAGGUUGCGGGCUCGAUUCCUGUUCGGUCCC
rnacentral:tRNA from 1 species